rnacentral:rRNA from 1 species
UGCANGUCGAACGAUGAAGCUUCUAGCUUGCUAGAAGUGGAUUAGUGGCGCACGGGUGAGUAAGGUAUAGUUAAUCUGCCCUACACAAGAGGACAACAGUUGGAAACGACUGCUAAUACUCUAUACUCCUGCUUAACACAAGUUGAGUAGGGAAAGUUUUUCGGUGUAGGAUGAGACUAUAUAGUAUCAGCUAGUUGGUGAGGUAAUGGCUCACCAAGGCUAUGACGCUUAACUGGUCUGAGAGGAUGAUCAGUCACACUGGAACUGAGACACGGUCCAGACUCCUACGGGAGGCAGCAGUAGGGAAUAUUGCGCAAUGGGGGAAACCCUGACGCAGCAACGCCGCGUGGAGGAUGACACUUUUCGGAGCGUAAACUCCUUUUCUUAGGGAAGAAUUCUGACGGUACCUAAGGAAUAAGCACCGGCUAACUCCGUGCCAGCAGCCGCGGUAAUACGGAGGGUGCAAGCGUUACUCGGAAUCACUGGGCGUAAAGGGCGCGUAGGCGGAUUAUCAAGUCUCUUGUGAAAUCUAAUGGCUUAACCAUUAAACUGCUUGGGAAACUGAUAGUCUAGAGUGAGGGAGAGGCAGAUGGAAUUGGUGGUGUAGGGGUAAAAUCCGUAGAUAUCACCAANAAUACCCAUUGCNAAGGCGAUCUGCUGGAACUCAACUGACGCUAANGCGCGAAANCNUGGGGAGCAAACAGGAUUAGAUACCCUGGUAGUCCACGCCCUAAACNAUGUACACUAGUUGUUGGGGUGCUANUCAUCUCAGUAAUGCANCUNACGCANUNNNUGUACCGCCNGGGGANUACGGUC